rnacentral:rRNA from 1 species
GACGAACCGAGCGAACGUUGUUCGGAAUCACUGGGCGUAAAGAGCGCGCAGGCGGUCGAUCAAGUCGAGUGUGAAAGCCCCCGGCUCAACUGGGGAGGGUCAUUCGAUACUGAUCGACUCGAAGGCAGGAGAGGGUAGUGGGAUUCCCGGUGUAGUGGUGAAAUGCGUAGAUAUCGGGAGGAACACCAGUGGCGAAGGCGACUACCUGGCCUGUUCUUGACGCUGAGGCGCGAAAGCUAGGGGAGCAAACGGG